rnacentral:rRNA from 1 species
UAUCAAUAAGCGGAGGAAAAGAAACUAACAAGGAUUCCCCUAGUAACUGCGAGUGAAGCGGGAAAAGCUCAAAUUUAAAAUCUGGUGGUCUUUUGGCCGUCCGAGUUGUAAUUUAGAGAAGCGUCUUCCGCGCUGGACCGUACACAAGUCUCCUGGAACGGAGCGUCAUAGAGGGUGAGAAUCCCGUCUUUGGUACGGACCCCCAGGGCUUCUGUGAUGCGCUCUCGAAGAGUCGAGUUGUUUGGGAAUGCAGCUCAAAAUGGGUGGUGAACUCCAUCUAAAGCUAAAUAUUGGCGAGAGACCGAUAGCGAACAAGUACCGUGAGGGAAAGAUGAAAAGCACUUUGGAAAGAGAGUGAAACAGUACGUGAAAUUGUUGAAAGGGAAACGCUUGAAGUCAGUCGCGUCCGCCGAGACUCAGCCUCGCUCCGGCUUGGCGUAUUUCUCGGUCGACGGGUCAGCAUCAAUUUUGUCCCUCGGAUAAUGGCGAGGGAAAGGUGGCACCUUUGCGGGUGUGUUAUAGUCCUUUGUCGCAUGCGAGGGGCGAGAUUGAGGAACUCAGCACGCGCGCCCCUCUGGGGGUGUGUCGGGGCCUCGGCCCACGCCACGUGCUUAGGAUGCUGGCGUAAUGGCUUUAAACGACC